CAGUAGCCGCGGUAAUACGGAGGGUGCAAGCGUUAAUCGGAAUUACUGGGCGUAAAGCGUGCGUAGGCGGUUCGUUAAGUCUGUUGUGAAAGCCCCGGGCUCAACCUGGGAAUGGCAAUGGAUACUGGCGAGCUAGAGUGUGUCAGAGGAUGGUGGAAUUCCCGGUGUAGCGGUGAAAUGCGUAGAGAUCGGGAGGAACAUCAGUGGCGAAGGCGGCCAUCUGGGACAACACUGACGCUGAGGCACGAAAGCGUGGGGAGCAAACAGGAUUAGAUACCCGUGUAGUCCCUGUCUCUUAUAA
rnacentral:rRNA from 1 species